GACGAACGCUGGCGGCGUGCCUAAUACAUGCAAGUAGAACGCUGAAGAGAGGAGCUUGCUCUUCUUGGAUGAGUUGCGAACGGGUGAGUAACGCGUAGGUAACCUGCCUUGUAGCGGGGGAUAACUAUUGGAAACGAUAGCUAAUACCGCAUAACAAUGGAUGACACAUGUCAUUUAUUUGAAAGGGGCAAUUGCUCCACUACAAGAUGGACCUGCGUUGUAUUAGCUAGUAGGUGAGGUAAUGGCUCACCUAGGCGACGAUACAUAGCCGACCUGAGAGGGUGAUCGGCCACACUGGGACUGAGACACGGCCCAGACUCCUACGGGAGGCAGCAGUAGGGAAUCUUCGGCAAUGGGGGCAACCCUGACCGAGCAACGCCGCGUGAGUGAAGAAGGUUUUCGGAUCGUAAAGCUCUGUUGUAAGUCAAGAACGGGUGUGAGAGUGGAAAGUUCACACUGUGACGGUAGCUUACCAGAAAGGGACGGCUAACUACGUGCCAGCAGCCGCGGUAAUACGUAGGUCCCGAGCGUUGUCCGGACUUAUUGGGCGUAAAGCGAGCGCAGGCGGUUUGAUAAGUCUGAAGUUAAAGGCUGUGGCUCAACCAUAGUUCGCUUUGGAAACUGUCAAACUUGAGUGCAGAAGGGGAGAGUGGAAUUCCAUGUGUAGCGGUGAAAUGCGUAGAUAUAUGGAGGAACACCGGUGGCGAAAGCGGCUCUCUGGUCUGUAACUGACGCUGAGGCUCGAAAGCGUGGGGAGCGAACAGGAUUAGAUACCCUGGUAGUCCACGCCGUAAACGAUGAGUGCUAGGUGUUGGAUCCUUUCCGGGAUUCAGUGCCGCAGCUAACGCAUUAAGCACUCCGCCUGGGGAGUACGACCGCAAGGUUGAAACUCAAAGGAAUUGACGGGGGCCCGCACAAGCGGUGGAGCAUGUGGUUUAAUUCGAAGCAACGCGAAGAACCUUACCAGGUCUUGACAUCCCGAUGCUAUUUCUAGAGAUAGAAAGUUACUUCGGUACAUCGGUGACAGGUGGUGCAUGGUUGUCGUCGGCUCGUGUCGUGAGAUGUUGGGUUAAGUCCCGCAACGAGCGCAACCCCUAUUGUUAGUUGCCAUCAUUCAGUUGGGCACUCUAGCGAGACUGCCGGUAAUAAACCGGAGGAAGGUGGGGAUGACGUCAAAUCAUCAUGCCCCUUAUGACCUGGGCUACACACGUGCUACAAUGGUUGGUACAACGAGUUGCGAGUCGGUGACGGCGAGCUAAUCUCUUAAAGCCAAUCUCAGUUCGGAUUGUAGGCUGCAACUCGCCUACAUGAAGUCGGAAUCGCUAGUAAUCGCGGAUCAGCACGCCGCGGUGAAUACGUUCCCGGGCCUUGUACACACCGCCCGUCACACCACGAGAGUUUGUAACACCCGAAGUCGGUGAGGUAACCUUUUGGAGCCAGCCGCCUAAGGUGGGACAGAUGAUUGGGGUG
rnacentral:rRNA from 1 species